rnacentral:hammerhead_ribozyme from 1 species
AUCCAGCUGACGAGUCCUAAAUAGGGCGAAACGCGCACCCUGGAU